rnacentral:rRNA from 1 species
UGUUGUAUGGGAAGAACAGCUAGAAUAGGAAAUGAUUUUAGUUUGACGGUACCCUCCCAGAAAGGGACGGCUAAAUACGUGCCAGCAGCCGCGGUAAUACGUAUGUCCCGAGCGUUAUCCGGAUUUAUUGGGCGUAAAGCGAGCGCAGACGGUUUAUUAAGUCUGAUGUGAAAGCCCGGAGCUCAACUCCGGAAUGGCAUUGGAAACUGGUUAACUUGAGUGCAGUAGAGGUAAGUGGAACUCCAUGUGUAGCGGUGGAAUGCGUAGAUAUAUGGAAGAACACCAGUGGCGAAGGCGGCUUACUGGACUGCAACUGACGUUGAGGCUCGAAAGUGUGGGUAGCAAACAGGAUUAGAUACCCUGGUAGUCCACACCGUAAACGAUGAACACUAGGUGUUAGGAGGUUUCCGCCUCUUAGUGCCGAAGCUAACGCAUUAAGUGUUCCGCCUGGGGAGUACGACCGCAAGGUUGAAACUCAAAGGAAUUGACGGGGACCCGCACAAGCGGUGGAGCAUGUGGUUUAAUUCGAAGCAACGCGAAGAACCUUACCAGGUCUUGACAUCCUUUGAAGCUUUUAGAGAUAGAAGUGUUCUCUUCGGAGACAAAGUGACAGGUGGUGCAUGGUCGUCGUCAGCUCGUGUCGUGAGAUGUUGGGUUAAGUCCCGCAACGAGCGCAACCCUUAUUGUUAGUUGCCAGCAUUCAGAUGGGCACUCUAGCGAGACUGCCGGUGACAAACCGGAGGAAGGCGGGGACGACGUCAGAUCAUCAUGCCCCUUAUGACCUGGGCUACACACGUGCUACAAUGGCGUAUACAACGAGUUGCCAGCCCGCGAGGGUGAGCUAAUCUCUUAAAGUACGUCUCAGUUCGGAUUGUAGUCUGCAACUCGACUACAUGAAGUCGGAAUCGCUAGUAAUCGCGGAUCAGCACGCCGCGGUGAAUACGUUCCCGGGUCUUGUACACACCGCCCGUCACACCAUGGGAGUUUGUAAUGCCCAAAGCCGGUGGCCUAACCUUUUAGGAAGGAGCCGUCUAAGCAGACAGAUCCAUA